rnacentral:rRNA from 1 species
UGGGGAAUAUUGGACAAUGGGCGAAAGCCUGAUCCAGCCAUGCCGCGUGUGUGAAGAAGGUCUUCGGAUUGUAAAGCACUUUAAGUUGGGAGGAAGGGCAGUAAGCGAAUACCUUGCUGUUUUGACGUUACCGACAGAAUAAGCACCGGCUAACUCUGUGCCAGCAGCAGCGGUAAUACAGAGGGUGCAAGCGUUAAUCGGAAUUACUGGGCGUAAAGCGCGCGUAGGUGGUUCGUUAAGUUGAAUGUGAAAGCCCCGGGCUCAACCUGGGAACUGCAUCCAAAACUGGCGACCUAGAGUAGGGCAGAGGGUGGUGGAAUUUCCUGUGUAGCGGUGAAAUGCGUAGAUAUAGGAAGGAACACCAGUGGCGAAGGCGACCACCUGGGCUCAUACUGACACUGAGGUGCGAAAGCGUGGGGAGCAAACAGG